AUGCAAAAUUCUAUCGAUUUCUGUUCUGCCUCAUCGUCGACAAGUUCCAAUUAUUCUUCACCGCCGGCUGUAUUAGACAUCGAUCAAGUUCUCGAAAAAUGCCAAAUUUGCUACCAACCUGGUCAUGGCUAUCAUUUUGGAGCGUUUAUUUGUCGUGCAUGUGCUGCGUUUUUUCGACGAUGCCAUUUUUCAUUGGCACUCGAUCAGAGAAAAUGCCGACUGUUGUCAGGAUCUUGUCAGCCGAAUAAAAAUGGGAGAUGGUUCUGUAAGAAGUGUCGUUUUGACAAAUGUUUGGAACUGGGAAUGACCACUACAAAUAUUCAAUAUGAUCGAGAUGCAUUCAAAUCGUCGGCUUCUUUUUUGAAAAAUAAAUCAGUAGCGAAAAGAGUCGCCGAUCGAGUUUCUGUUCCAAUGGUGAGAUCUUGAACAUUUAAAAAAGUUGUUUGAAUAUUCAAUUACACAUAGUUUUCAUCGCAUGAAAACGCAGCAAAAGUAUCAAUAUAAAAAUCUUCCAUGCAGACGUAAAAUAGGCAUACAAAGUCUGCGCGGAGCCCGCUUUUAGCACUCGGACGGAAACAUUGUAUCACGUAUCCAUGUUCGAGUGAGAAAAAUCGCCACAUCUUACGCGCAAAAAGCACCUGCGUCUCUUUUUCUCGCACGCUGUCUAACGUCUAUUCAAAACGCCUAUGGCGAGAGAGCGUGUGGAGAAGAGAGACGCAGACGUUUCAGCAGUUCUCAUCAAACCAACGACACGUAAUAUACAAUGUUAAAAACGUUUUUCAAACACCACCAACUGCACUCGGAAAAGCAGGGCGAACGCUAGACGAAACCGAUCAGAGGAUUUUGUGCCAGAAUGUAAAACACGCAAUUUCAUAUUACACAUAUAAAUUUCACAAACUUUUCCAAUAACAAUUAAAAACACCUAAACAAAUUUCAGACGGUCGAAUCAGCGCUUGGCAUAAAUCCUAUCAUGAUUUUUACAUAUGCCGACGAAAAUAAACAAUUCCCAUUUAUUGAUAUAUCACAACUUGUGGACAAGGCAUUGUCAUCAAUCCUCACGCCAAUAUCAGUCCGAAAAAUUAAAAAGAUGAGCAACUUAGAGCAGCUGACUCAAGGAUUAGACGAGUUUCAGUGGACUCAAAAAGAAAGUGUUUCGCAAAUCGUCCGUCUAUCUGCAAACGAUCACUUGAAUGAUUUUCAAACAUACAUGUGUGCAGCGGCAAAAUGGCUGUCAUAUUCGGAUAGAAUUCGAAAUUUGGAUGAUGAAUUGAAAAUACAAAUUUUGCAAUGUAUUUGGUUCAACUGGGGACGGUUAGAACGAAUCGCAACGACGGCAAAAAUGAGGAAUAAACGGAAGUGUGGGAAAAAGCAGUUUGUAUUUUCGAAUAAUAUACUACUUGACUACGAUGAAAUGUCUUCUGAUUUGAGCUUCUGGUCAAAUUAUACAUUCGAGGAAAUGAAAUACUUUUUUAUACCGACUGAAAUGUUUUACGAUGAGGUGAUUUGUGAAAUGGAAGAAGUACAACCUGACAAUAUGGAAACUACUUUCAUUAUAAGCCUUAUGUGCUUCCAUCUAACAGGAAAACAAUUUGGUGGGCAAGUUCAAGAAGAAAUGGAUCAACUGCAAGAUCUCUUAUCGGAUGAACUUCACGAGUAUUAUCUAAAGAAAAAUAUGACGAUGUACUCUUUGCGACUCAAGCAGUUGAUGAAAAUCAAGGAAAAGUUCCUCAAGCUUCGAUAUAAACGCUGUGAAAAAUAUAAGAUUGCAGGAAUAUUUGAGGCGUUUCAUACGAACUUGUCAAAUCCCGAGUUUUUCAUGAUUCCUGCUUAA